rnacentral:rRNA from 1 species
UACUAGAGUAGCACUCGCAUAUCAAUAAGCGGAGGAAAAGAAACUAACAAGGAUUCCCUUAGUAACGGCGAGUGAAGCGGGAAGAGCUCAAAUUUGAAAUCUUCAAGGUUUUACCUUGACGAAUUGUAGUUUAAAGAAGUGUUUUCUGUUGAAGUUUUGGUAAAAGUUCUUUGGAAUAGGACAUCAUAGAGGGUGAGAAUCCCGUAUUUGACCAUUAUUUUCAGCUGUGUGAUACACUUUCAAAGAGUCGGAUUGUUUGGGAAUGCAGUCCAAAAUGGGUGGUAAAUUUCAUCUAAAGCUAAAUAUUGGCGAGAGACCGAUAGCGAACAAGUACCGUGAGGGAAAGAUGAAAAGAACUUUGAAAAGAGAGUUAAACAGUACGUGAAAUUGUCAAAAGGGAAGCGUUUGACACCAGUGUUGUUUAGUCGAAAAUCAAUUCAAUAGUUUUUGAUUCUAAGUAGUAUUGACUUCAUCAGCCUGCUGCUUUCUUCUCAGAAAUUAUUGAAUGCACUUUUCAGUUAACAAGUCAACAUCAAUUUCUUUUGUUGUAAAAGGGUAAGAGGAAGGUGGCUUACGCUUCGGCGUAAGUGUUUAUAGCCUUUUACCUCUGCAAUCGGAGAGAUUGAGGACAGCAGCGUAGACUCCUUCGGGGGUUAGAUACACUUGUGCUAAGCUAUAGCCUUGUAUAGACAACUUGUUGACUAUGCUCAGUCAUGUAGGCUUACUCGCUUAUGCUAUUUUACCUACGCUUAGGAUGUUGAUAGUCACAGCGUGUAC